rnacentral:rRNA from 1 species
GGCUUGAUGAUAAUAAUUUCAAGUCGGACCUGCCCAAUGAGAGGUUCAAUGGCUGCGGUAUAUUGACCGUACAAAGGUAGCAUAAUCAUUAGUUUUUUAAUUGAAAGCUUGUAUGAAUGGUUUGAUGAAAAAGUAGCUGUCUCUUUUAGAGUUCAGUAGAAUUUUAUUUUUGAGUGAGAAAGCUUAAAUGAUUAUAGAAGACGAGAAGACCCUAUAGAGUUUUAUAUAUUUUUAGGCACUAAAGUUUUUAUAGGGAAAUUUAGUACUUAAAAAUUUAUUUGGUUGGGGUGAUGGAAAAAUUUAAUAAACUUUUUUUUUAUUUUUACAUAAAUUUAUGAAGUGUUGAUCCUUUAGUAAAGAUUAAAAGAUAAAAUUACCUUAGGGAUAACAGCGUAAUUUUUUUUAGAGUUCUUAUCGAAUUUAAAGAUUGCGACCUCGAUGUUGGAUUAAAAUUUAAUUUUGGUGUAGGUGCUGGGAUUUUAGGUCUGUUCGACCUUUAAAAUUUUACAUGAUCUGAGUUUAAACCGGCGUGAG